rnacentral:rRNA from 1 species
UAACUAGGAAUUAGAUACCCUAUUAUACCAGUUUUAGAAAAUUUUACUUGGGUAGUAAUUAGGUAAGAGCUUGAAAUCCAAAGAAUUUGGCGGUAUUUUAAUCUCUUUAGAGGAACCUGUUAUAUAAGCGAUAAACCACGUAAUAUCCUACUUUAUUUUGUUUUAGUUUGUAUACCGCCAUAAUUUGGCUUUGUUUUAAAACAUAUUUCAGGAUAAACAACUAUUUAGAACAUUAGGUCAAGGUGCAGCUUAUAAUAAAGAAUCAAUGGGUUACAAUAUAAUUAAUAUAGUAUGAAAAGGGGAUUGAAUAAAACCCUUGAAGGUGGAUUUAAUAGUAAUUUUAACUUUAAUAAGGUAGAAUGAAUUUGCUCUAAAAUAUGUACACAUCGCCGCUCUAUA